rnacentral:lncRNA from 1 species
GUAAUCUAUUGUAUGAGUCACUCGGAUUCCCUCUCAAAAACUGUAAUGCUUUUUCCUUUGUUCUCCAUGCUUGCAUGUAGCUUAGGUUCACUCCAUGUUCGGAUAACAUGUCAGUUUGUAUGUCCUUUGGCGUGUAAACAGUCAUAGGAUCACAAAACUUUGGAACGACAAUGCUACCAACUACUGUUGCAGUACACUUGCGUUUUAUGAAUGUUUCGUCCAUUCGGCAACAUGUG